rnacentral:rRNA from 1 species
UGUCGUCAGCUCGUGUCGUGGGAUGUUGGGUUAAGUCCGUAACGAGCGCAACCCUUGUCCUUAGUUACCAGCACGUUAUGGUGGGCACUCUAAGGAGACUGCCGGUGACAAACCGGAGGAAGGUGGGGGAUGACGUCAAGUCAUCAUGGCCCUUACGGCCUGGGCUACACACGUGCUACAAUGGUCGGUACAAAGGGUUGCCAAGCCGCGAGGUGGAGCUAAUCCCAUAAAACCGAUCGUAGUCCGGAUCGCAGUCUGCAACUCGACUGCGUGAAGUCGGAAUCGCUAGUAAUCGUGAAUCAGAAUGUCACGGUGAAUACGUUCCCGGGCCUU